GACGAACGCUGGCGGCGUGCUUAACACAUGCAAGUCGAACGGAAAGGCCCUGCUUUUGUGGGGUGCUCGAGUGGCGAACGGGUGAGUAACACGUGAGUAACCUGCCCUUGACUUUGGGAUAACUUCAGGAAACUGGGGCUAAUACCGGAUAGGAGCUCCUGCUGCAUGGUGGGGGUUGGAAAGUUUCGGCUGUUGGGGAUGGACUCGCGGCUUAUCAGCUUGUUGGUGGGGUAGUGGCUUACCAAGGCUUUGACGGGUAGCCGGCCUGAGAGGGUGACCGGCCACAUGGGGACUGAGAUACGGACCAGACGCCUACGGGAGGCAGCAGUGGGGAAUAUUGCACAAUGGGCGGAAGCCUGAUGCAGCAACGCCGCGUGCGGGAUGACGGCCUUCGGGUUGUAAACCGCUUUCGCCUGUGACGAAGCGUGAGUGACGGUAAUGGGUAAAGAAGCACCGGCUAACUACGUG
rnacentral:rRNA from 1 species